GUCCUUUUAAGCGAUUCUUCACAUUAUCCUAAUGGUGAUAGGAGAGACCACGUAACCAUAUAUGCGCUUUGCCUGUAAUCCUGAUUGCUGCCGACAGCUGGCAGAAUUAUUCCCAUACAAAAUUUCCCCUAUAUUGUACAGAUCUCUUUGCUCGAAGGUAAAGAAGGAGGAAACAGAAUGAGAUUAACCAAGGAGGAAAGAAAAAGAAAGGAAGAAAGGGAAAUAAUCUCUUUAAAGAAGCGUUCCUGGGAAGGGCUGCAUGCAGGCAUCGAUGCAGCACUCAUAGCUCUGAGCUGAGCCCAACCCUGAGCUCAGCACUGCUGCAUUCCGCCCACCCCAGCCUCAGCACUUCUCCCUUUGGGGUUUCUGAGCUCUGCUCAUGGCAGGAGAUAGAAUAGGACCCCUCAGCUGCUCCUGCUCCCACCUGGCCACAAGCAGCAGCUCUCAGUGGCACAGGGAUGGAGAUGGGGAUGGAUCGGCGCUCAGCCUUCCCGGAUCUGGCACCGCCUCGGGAACAAAACCAACAGCUCCACGCCAGGAAUGACCUCAGGAAAUAAAAGCCACAACUGAGGAAUGGAGCCGGGGCAGAGCCGGGGCCCCUCCUGCCCACAAACGUCACGGUGGUGUUUGGACAUCAUUGCCAAAAAGUGUCAGAAAGGAGAGCACAGCACUCUGUGGGCCCCGCUGACCGCACAGCACCAACCUGGGAGGGACAGGAAAACGUCUCUGUGUGGGGGUUGUGCCGCUGCCCUUUGGAGCUGUGGGGGCUCUCCUGGGUCCCAUUCCCAGCAGGGAACCCCCCCCCCGGGGUCUGAGCAUCCUGGGGGGCUCUAUAGGAGCUCAGCCCCAAGGCACAGCCCCACAGCACCUUCCUCCUCCUCACCUAUGCCUGGACGUGGAACGCAACCACACACACCCCAGCCAGCUGUGUGAAAGACGUAUAUAUUCAGCACGCACCCAAUACAGC
rnacentral:lncRNA from 1 species